rnacentral:rRNA from 1 species
AACUCCAAGAGUGUAUCUUAAUGUUGCUGCAGUUAAAAAGCUCGUAGUUGAACCUCUGACCGUUAGGCCGGCAUCCGUUGGCCCGGCGGUCAUCCGCUAGGAGAAGCUAUUCUUCCUUCACCGGUUGGAUAGGGGACCCAGCAUUUUACUUUGAAGAAAUUAGAGUGUUCAUGGCAGGCUACGCUUGCAUAUAUUAGCAUGGAAUAAUGGAAUACGACUUUGUCUGUUUCACUGGUUAACAGCGAAGUAAUGAUUAACAGGGACAGUCGGGGGCAUUCGUACUCAGUGGCUAGAGGUGAAAUUCUUAGAUUCGCUGAAGACGAACUAAUGCGAAAGCAUUUGCCAAGGAUGUUUUCA